rnacentral:rRNA from 1 species
UGGGGAAUAUUGCACAAUGGGGGAAACCCUGAUGCAGCGACGCCGCGCGAACGAAGAAGGUAUUCGUAUCGUAAAGUUCUGUCCUAUGGGAAGAUAAUGACAGUACCAUAGAAGAAAGCUCCGGCUAAAUACGUGCCAGCAGCCGCGGUAAUACGUAUGGAGCGAGCGUUGUCCGGAAUUAUUGGGCGUAAAGGGUACGCAGGCGGUUUAAUAAGUCGAAUGUUAAAGAUCGGGGCUCAACCCCGCAAAGCAUUGGAAACUGAUAAACGUGGGUGGUGGAGAGGAAAGUGGAAAUCCGAGUGUAGUGGUGAAAUACGGAGAGAUGAGGAGGAAUACCAGUAGCGAAGGGGACUUUCUGGACACAAAAUGACGGUGAGGUACGAAAACGUGGGGAGCAAACAGG